AGAACUGGAUAUUUACAUGCAGAAGAAUGAAACUAGACCCAUAUCUUUCACCAUAUACAAAAAUCAAAUCAAAUGGAUUAGACUUAAAAUCUCAGACCCCAAAUUAUGAAACUACUAUAAGAAAACAUUGGAUAAACUCUCCAGGACAUUGGUCUGGGCAAAAAUUUCAGCAUAGGCAACUAAAGCAAAAAUGGAUAAAUGGGAUCACACCAAGUUAAAAAGCUGCACAGCAAAGGAAACAAUCAACAAAGUGAAGAGACAACCCACAGAAUGAGAGAAAAUAUUUGUGAACUACCCAUAUGACAAGGGAUUAACAAACGGAAUAUAUAAGGAACUCAACUUAUAGGCAAAAAUCUAAUAAUCUGAUUUAAAAAUGAGCUAAAUAUCUGAAUAGACAUUUCUCAAAAGAAGACACACAGAUGUCAAACAGGCAUAUAAAAAGGUGGUCAACAUCACUGAUCUUCAGAAAAAUGCAGAUCAAACUGCAGUGAGAUAUCAUCUCACCCCAGUUAAAAUGGCUUUUAUUCAAAAGGCAGGCAAUAACAAAUGCUGAUGAGGAUAUGGAGAAAAGAGAACCCUCAUACACUGUUGGUGGGAAUGCAAAUUAGUACAAACACUAUGGAGAAUAGUUUGGAGGUUCCUCAAAAAACUAAAAAUAGAGUUAUCAUAUGAUCCAUCAAUCCCACUGCUGGGUAUGUAUCCAAAAGAAAGGGGAAUCCGUAUUUCAAAGAGAUAUGAGCACUCCCAUGUUUGUUGCAGCAGUGUUUACAAUAGCCAAGAUUUAGAGGCAACCUAAGUGUCCAUCAACAGAUAAAUCGAUAAAGAAAAUGUGGUACAUAUACACAAUGGAGUACUAUUUAGCCAUUGAAAAAAAUGACAUUCUAUCAUUUGCAACAACAUGGAUAGAACUGCAGGUAAUUAUGCUAAGUGAAAUAAGCCAGGCACAGAAAGACAAACAUAACAUUAAAUUGUUAAAUAAUGAUUUAAUUGCACACUUAAAAUGACUAAAAGAGUAUAAUUGUAUUAUUUGUAACACAAAGGUUAAAUGCCUGCGGAGAUGGAUACCGCAGUUUGCAUGAUGUAAUUGCUACACACUGCAUGCCUGUAUCAAAACAUCUCAUGUACUCCAUAUGUACAUAUGUACAUAUGCCUAGUAUGUACUGACAACAAUUAAACGUUAAAAAAAAAAA
rnacentral:lncRNA from 1 species